GAUAAUGCCUCGCCAUUUUUAGUAAGAAAAAUCGCACCUCUCUAUGAAUUCCAUAAAAGAAGAACAGAGAAUUUAAUUCGGAGUAGCAAUCCUUCAUUUGUGCUGAAUAUUUCAUAUCAAAAGGGUUACAAGGCCAUGAUUCCAAAUGUCGAGCACAAUACAAGUUAGCUAGCCUUUUAACAGAAAAUCCUCAAUUAUCUAUGUAACAAGAUUUGAAAUUAGCUCAACAGUUUCCCAAUCGUCACUUUGUGGAUGCAUUCCAAAAAAAAAAAAAAUUCUGCUCAUGCCAGACUUCAAGUAGACGACAGACGCACGACAACAGUGAAAACUCCAGGACAAUCUACCAAGGAGGGAUUCAGAGACAAGAUGGCAACACGCACAUGGUCAUGGUACUCCGUGGGAAGCCCAUCAAUGAGAGUCUCGUCUUUGCUCGUCAAGCACUUCCUUAAAACUGCCCAUCAAAAUUAAGACCCGAGAAGAACUUUCAGAAAUGAGAGAGUUUCAUGAGUACUGAACCUUGAAGUUGGGGAUAUUCGAGGGAAGGACGCGAGAGAACACACCUACGGAGGAGGACGCGCUUGGGGCAGAAUCGCGAGAUGGGGAAGCUCGAGGACUAGGGAAGAGACGGUUAGGCGAGGCGCACAUGUAAGCAGCAGAACCGCGUUUGCCUCCAUCAACCUUCAAUCGAUUCCUCGAAUCAGAGCGAGAGAGAGAAGGAGAGGGGUUAAAUAAUUUAGUUUGGGUUCAGAAAGGAAGGGAAAACAGUU
rnacentral:lncRNA from 1 species